UCCUGACCUUUCAGAUAUGCUGAAAUUUGAGAGUGAGAAACACCAAGACAUUCUUAUGUGGAACUACAGAGACACCUUCUUCAACUUAUCUCUGAAAGAAGUACUCUUUCUCAGGGAGUCUCCUUCACUGAGAUUUCAAGUCUACAGAGAAAGAAGAGAUGUAGCAGGUUUUGAAACAUGUUUGGAGGACCACUGAGGGCCUUUGGUGAGCCUCUUCUUGACAUGUGCCAUUAUUCGAACAUCAGUCCUUGGUGCUGACAAUGUCUGAUCAGCCAAAAGAACCAGGAGGGCUAGGGGGAAAUUCUCCCCUCUCCGACAGUUUUGGUGUCGUUGGCUGGAUACUGCUUGGCUACUGCUUGCUCCUGGGACUGUUGCAGAUAAAGAGAUCCUGGAACUUCUGAAGAAAACCUGGCAGAAGGAGACCUUCCACAUAAAAAUUCUGAUUUUGGAUUCUUUUGGAAAAAUGGAAAUACCUGGUAACACUAGCCCAGACCUCCACCGUGUAGCAACCAGCCAAAUUGAGAAGUGUUACAGGAACAUGCCGUCCAGGGAACCACAGACCCCACCACUCCCUGGUGCCCUUAAAGCCCACUUCCUGUAUCUGUGCUUCAGCCUCAACAUCAGCCUCUGGUUUGCAAUCCAUAAGAACUUUCCUUUCCUUCCUUCUGGGCCUUCACUCUCCUUCCCUGGGCCCAGCCAUCACGGGUCAGGUCGGGCUGGGCCAAAGUGGGUGCUUGACUUUCCCUUCCUUUUCAUGAUGUUUUUCUACCAAAUCGUUUUUCUGUGCUCUGAAACCUUUUUGGUCCCCCAAGAGUGGAGGAUUUUGAAACUCAAAAGCCAGAAGGAGACACUUCUCCCUCCUCCAUCCCCUCCGGGGCAGUGCUUCAUAUCACAUCCCUUCCCUGAGGGAGUGCGAAAGAACAGCCUGAGACUUUAAAAGGGGAAACAGCAGACCAGGAUGGGAAGGAAACCAGGGGGGAAAUUUGGUUAAGAAGGAGAUAUGGGUCUUAGACAUAUCAGAUUUGCAACUAUUAAAACGUUGGAUGAUAUCAAGUGACACAAAAGGUGAAGGAAAGCAGAAUAUCUCAUAGGAAUGUUAACUAAUCUUUCUAGGAAGCAGAUUGACAGUGUUAAGUGAUGUGGAAUAUGGGCCACUCCUACAACCCAGUACUUGGGGACGCUGAGCCCAGAGACAUUCUUGCCCAGGCCCCCAAAGAAACAUGUGUGGAUUUGUUCUUGGAGAAUUGUUUGUAAUAAUGAAGAUUUGGAAACACCUAGAAGUUUAUUCAUAGGAAAGUAGUUACAUAAAAGGUUAUAUGAAAAUGCUGAGUACCAUUCAGCAGAUAAAAGGAAUGCUCUGGUCCAUAUUUACUUAUAUUAACUUGCAGCCAUCUCAAAAUCUCAUAGUCUUGACUGGAAAAAAGUGAGAAAAGAAUGACAUGUUUACCAAAGACUACUUAAGCAUAUUUUUAAAAAUAUGCACAAAAUAAUACCAAUAUUGGGCCUAGAUACACAUAGAAAUAUAGAUUGGCCAGACACAAAGAAUCACAAGGACGUAAGAGGAGAAAAAUGAGAUUGGGGAUGGGGUGAAGGGGUCAAGAAAAUAAAGUAAAAUAAAAGUGAGCCCUGCAUAUGCUAAUAAAGAUGGUAUGCAUGUGGCUAAUUGAUCCUGAGCAAAGGAGGUCUCGGCAAACAGAAAACUACAGCAAAACAAAACAUCAGUUAAUGUUUAAAAUAUUAACCUGAUGCCUGUGGAAAGAGAACUCUGUGAAUAACCAAAGGUCUGAUGAGUGCCCAGAGGUGACCGAGCAGUCCUGCAGUCCCUGUGAUUCCCUCCAACUGAUCUCCUGCUGGGGUCACUCCAUAGCUUGGCCUUGAGUUGCUUUUAUCCACAGACUUUCAGCCUCCCAGCACCGCUGACUGCUCUCAGGAAAACUGUUGGAUCACGAGAUUUUCCCACAGAGAUCGUCACCAUGGGGUAUCUUCAACCUGUUAUUAGCCUCGAGUUCCUCCAGCAAAGUCAGGAUAUCCUGGGAACGAGUACUCCUCCAGCCCCUGAAGCCUCCUUUUUAAUGCGCCUUCAGUACCCAAAACUUUCUCAGACAGAGUGUUAUAUGAGGUCCAGCUUUUUUUGCUUGGGGUGUGGAGGACAGAGGUGAGCGGUUCUGGCCAGCAGCUCUGUUUCCCCUUGAAGCCCCACUCUUGGGGAGCGAGGGGGAGAAAGAGAGACGAGGAGCUAUUUGCUGUCUCCCUAAUCCAUCCUUCUCUCUCUUUCUCUUCCCCUCCCUCCUUUCCUUAGAAACAUAUAUUCAGUGCUGAGUGUACACAAGGCAUGUGGCAGCCCCCAUUGAAUCUGGCAUUGUCCCCUGCCCUCAAGGAGAGUCAAGUCCGGGGGGGAGCAAGCGGUGAGUGUGGUCAAGCAUGGUAGGGAUUUGUGAGGGGCGAGGGAGCUAUGAGACCACAGAGGCGGGCAGCUAUAUCACAUGGGAGGCUUCUUGGAGGUGGUCCUCCUUGAGCUGAGUCUGAAAGGGUAAAUAGAGGUAACAAGAAGGGGAAUAAUGGGGGAAAGGUAUUCUAUUGCAAUGGCUGGGAGGCAUGAAACAGCAGGACAUAGAGGGAGCUGUCAGCAGUUCAUCAUGUCUGGAUUUGGGGCUCCGGAAGAGCCUUGGGUGCUAGGACUUCGCUCAUGUUCUAUCUUCUCCCUGAAGCCUGCAGAACUACCCCAGUCCUGCCAGAUCCCCCUCUUCUGAAAUCUUGGACCAACCUUUUAUAAUUGCAUGUUCCCCUACUGUUAUGGGGUGUGUGUGUGUGUGUGUGUGUGUGUGUGUGUGUAUGUGUGUGUGAGUGUGAAGGUUUUGUUUCCCAGUCUCAACUUGGAGAGGGGCCCACAAGCCCAGGGUUUCUCCCACCCAGUGCCUUGCAUCCAGCCUUCACCCCACCGAGAGGGUGUACUGUUCAGUGGGGAAGCAGACUGAGGCGGCGGGUAGCAGCACCAAAUCCCACAUAGUGCGUUGGGUUUUCAGCCUGAGCGGCUUCUGUAGGGAUAUGUCUGACCGGGCUGUCAUCUGGGCCAAUGCCCAGGUGAAUGUUCUUCUCAGAGGGAGACCUGAAAGCCCUGGUAUUCAGCCUCUCAGAUGGUGCCCAGUGAGCCCCACCUCCCGGUUUUCAUGGUCUUGUGCAGUCUCCUCCCACAUUGUGUCAGGAUUGAGCGGUAUGACCAACAAAAUACAGCAGAUUGAUGGCAUAUGCCUUUGAGGCUAGCUCAAUAAAAGACACUGUGACUUCUGCAUUAGUUCCUGUCUUGGACUGCUCACUCUGGAAGAAGCCAGCUGCCAUGUCGUCAGGACACACAAGCAGCCCUAUCAAAGGUCCAUGUGGUACAGAACCGAGGCCUCCUGCCAACAGCCAUGAGAGGAGCCAUCUUGCAUGUGGACCCCCAGCUCCAAUCAAGCCUUCAGAUGACAGCAGCCCCGUUCAACAUCUUGAGACCUUGAGCCAGAACAACCCAGCUCAGGUGCUUCCCUUGAUGGGAUCAAUAGCCCAGCAGCAGAUGCAGAAGAACUCUCCUCUGAACUUUCCUUAUCUGCCUGGCACAGAGCAUGGAGAAUCAGCAGCCACCCCCCCACCUCCACCCUCCAGCUGGUCUCCAGUCAGGGAGGCACUGACCUUGGGCACCAGGACAUUCCCAAAGAAAUUGUAUAAGAAUCCUAAGGCACAGAGAGGUUAAGCAAUUUGCUCAAGGUCACACAGCGAGUAGUAGCAGCAUAGGAAUUUGCACAUGGGCAGCCUGGCUGUGCACUCUGUCCUGAGCUCAGCCAGGCACCUGCGGAGAGACCCUCACACUUCCCGUCUGCCUACACCAGUGGUUCUCAACCAAGAGCAAUUUUGCCCCCCGAAGGACAUGUGGUGAUGUCUAGAGACAUUUUUGAUUGUUGUGACCAGAAGGCUGCUACUGGCACCUAGGGUCUUUACAUGUGGAAGAGGGAGGCAGAACAUUGAUGCCCUGGGAGAAAGUCUCCACCAGCUAUUGAAGACGGGAGGGAGCCAGAAGCCCAGAAAAGCCGGCGACCCCUAGAAGCUGGAAAAGGCAAGAGAACCGGUUCUCUCCUAGAGCCUCCAGAAAAGGAACUUGGCCCUGCUAACACCUUGCUUUGAGCCCAGGGGUCCAAAACCACCUCCCUUUCUGGAACAGAUAGGACUCCGUGCAGGUGGGUGCCAAGCUGGGCUCACACGCUCCACAGGACACUGCCUCAGCCCUGGACAUGGGACGUGGUACUUCCUCUCCGAGUCGGGCCCCCAGGCCUUCUUCACCUGCCCUUCGCUGUCCCGGAGGCUCGGUCAGCCAGCACAGGUGCUGAACAUUCAUGAUCCACUUGGUCAGUGGGGCUUCAUUUUAUUUGCUCAAGCCAUACCUGCCACAAAUUCCAGAAGAUAAAAACCAAGGAGUAGGGCUUCCCUGGUGGUGCAGUGGUUGAGAG